UUAAGCGACUAAGCGUACACGGUGGAUGCCCUGGCAGUCAGAGGCGAUGAAGGACGUGCUAAUCUGCGAUAAGCGUCGGUAAGGUGAUAUGAACCGUUAUAACCGGCGAUUUCCGAAUGGGGAAACCCAGUGUGAUUCGUCACACUAUCAUUAACUGAAUCCAUAGGUUAAUGAGGCGAACCGGGGGAACUGAAACAUCUAAGUACCCCGAGGAAAAGAAAUCAACCGAGAUUCCCCCAGUAGCGGCGAGCGAACGGGGAGCAGCCCAGAGCCUGAAUCAGUGUGUGUGUUAGUGGAAGCGUCUGGAAAGGCGUGCGAUACAGGGUGACAGCCCCGUACACAAAAAUGCACAUACUGUGAGCUCGAUGAGUAGGGCGGGACACGUGGUAUCCUGUCUGAAUAUGGGGGGACCAUCCUCCAAGGCUAAAUACUCCUGACUGACCGAUAGUGAACCAGUACCGUGAGGGAAAGGCGAAAAGAACCCCGGCGAGGGGAGUGAAAAAGAACCUGAAACCGUGUACGUACAAGCAGUGGGAGCACGCUUAGGCGUGUGACUGCGUACCUUUUGUAUAAUGGGUCAGCGACUUAUAUUCUGUAGCAAGGUUAACCGAAUAGGGGAGCCGAAGGGAAACCGAGUCUUAACUGGGCGUUAAGUUGCAGGGUAUAGACCCGAAACCCGGUGAUCUAGCCAUGGGCAGGUUGAAGGUUGGGUAACACUAACUGGAGGACCGAACCGACUAAUGUUGAAAAAAUGAGCGGAUGACUUGUGGCUGGGGGUGAAAGGCCAAUCAAACCGGGAGAUAGCUGGUUCUCCCCGAAAGCUAUUUAGGUAGCGCCUCGUGAAUUCAUCUCCGGGGGUAGAGCACUGUUUCGGCAAGGGGGUCAUCCCGACUUACCAACCCGAUGCAAACUGCGAAUACCGGAGAAUGUUAUCACGGGAGACACACGGCGGGUGCUAACGUCCGUCGUGAAGAGGGAAACAACCCAGACCGCCAGCUAAGGUCCCAAAGUCAUGGUUAAGUGGGAAACGAUGUGGGAAGGCCCAGACAGCCAGGAUGUUGGCUUAGAAGCAGCCAUCAUUUAAAGAAAGCGUAAUAGCUCACUGGUCGAGUCGGCCUGCGCGGAAGAUGUAACGGGGCUAAACCAUGCACCGAAGCUGCGGCAGCGACGCUUAUGCGUUGUUGGGUAGGGGAGCGUUCUGUAAGCCUGUGAAGGUGUACUGUGAGGUAUGCUGGAGGUAUCAGAAGUGCGAAUGCUGACAUAAGUAACGAUAAAGCGGGUGAAAAGCCCGCUCGCCGGAAGACCAAGGGUUCCUGUCCAACGUUAAUCGGGGCAGGGUGAGUCGACCCCUAAGGCGAGGCCGAAAGGCGUAGUCGAUGGGAAACAGGUUAAUAUUCCUGUACUUGGUGUUACUGCGAAGGGGGGACGGAGAAGGCUAUGUUGGCCGGGCGACGGUUGUCCCGGUUUAAGCGUGUAGGCUGGUUUUCCAGGCAAAUCCGGAAAAUCAAGGCCGAGGCGUGAUGACGAGGCACUACGGUGCUGAAGCAACAAAUGCCCUGCUUCCAGGAAAAGCCUCUAAGCAUCAGGUAACAUCAAAUCGUACCCCAAACCGACACAGGUGGUCAGGUAGAGAAUACCAAGGCGCUUGAGAGAACUCGGGUGAAGGAACUAGGCAAAAUGGUGCCGUAACUUCGGGAGAAGGCACGCUGAUACGUAGGUGAAGCGACUUGCUCGUGGAGCUGAAAUCAGUCGAAGAUACCAGCUGGCUGCAACUGUUUAUUAAAAACACAGCACUGUGCAAACACGAAAGUGGACGUAUACGGUGUGACGCCUGCCCGGUGCCGGAAGGUUAAUUGAUGGGGUUAGCGCAAGCGAAGCUCUUGAUCGAAGCCCCGGUAAACGGCGGCCGUAACUAUAACGGUCCUAAGGUAGCGAAAUUCCUUGUCGGGUAAGUUCCGACCUGCACGAAUGGCGUAAUGAUGGCCAGGCUGUCUCCACCCGAGACUCAGUGAAAUUGAACUCGCUGUGAAGAUGCAGUGUACCCGCGGCAAGACGGAAAGACCCCGUGAACCUUUACUAUAGCUUGACACUGAACAUUGAGCCUUGAUGUGUAGGAUAGGUGGGAGGCUUUGAAGUGUGGACGCCAGUCUGCAUGGAGCCGACCUUGAAAUACCACCCUUUAAUGUUUGAUGUUCUAACGUGGACCCGUGAUCCGGGUUGCGGACAGUGUCUGGUGGGUAGUUUGACUGGGGCGGUCUCCUCCUAAAGAGUAACGGAGGAGCACGAAGGUUGGCUAAUCCUGGUCGGACAUCAGGAGGUUAGUGCAAUGGCAUAAGCCAGCUUGACUGCGAGCGUGACGGCGCGAGCAGGUGCGAAAGCAGGUCAUAGUGAUCCGGUGGUUCUGAAUGGAAGGGCCAUCGCUCAACGGAUAAAAGGUACUCCGGGGAUAACAGGCUGAUACCGCCCAAGAGUUCAUAUCGACGGCGGUGUUUGGCACCUCGAUGUCGGCUCAUCACAUCCUGGGGCUGAAGUAGGUCCCAAGGGUAUGGCUGUUCGCCAUUUAAAGUGGUACGCGAGCUGGGUUUAGAACGUCGUGAGACAGUUCGGUCCCUAUCUGCCGUGGGCGCUGGAGAACUGAGGGGGGCUGCUCCUAGUACGAGAGGACCGGAGUGGACGCAUCACUGGUGUUCGGGUUGUCAUGCCAAUGGCACUGCCCGGUAGCUAAAUGCGGAAGAGAUAAGUGCUGAAAGCAUCUAAGCACGAAACUUGCCCCGAGAU
rnacentral:rRNA from 1 species